UACGUAGGGUGCAAGCGUUGUCCGGAAUUAUUGGGCGUAAAGAGCUCGUAGGCGGUUUGUCGCGUCUGCUGUAAAAACCCGAGGCUCAACCUCGGGCCUGCAGUGGGUACGGGCAGACUAGAGUGCGGUAGGGGAGAUUGGAAUUCCUGGUGUAGCGGUGGAAUGCGCAGAUAUCAGGAAGAACACCGGUGGCGAAGGCGGCUCUCUGGGCCUUACCUGACGCUGAGGAGCGAAAGCGUGGGUAGCGAACAGG
rnacentral:rRNA from 1 species